GGUGCAAGCGUUAAUCGGAAUUACUGGGCGUAAAGCGUGCGCAGGCGGUUCUGUAAGUCUGACGUGAAAUCCCCGGGCUCAACCUGGGAAUUGCGUUGGAGACUGCAAGGCUGGAAUCUGGCAGAGGGGGGUAGAAUUCCACGUGUAGCAGUGAAAUGCGUAGAGAUGUGGAGGAACACCGAUGGCGAAGGCAGCCCCCUGGGUCAAGAUUGACGCUCAUGCACGAAAGCGUGGGGAGCAAACAGGAUUAGAUACCCUGGUAGUCCACGCCCUAAACGAUGUCUACUAGUUGUCGGGUUUUAAUUAACUUGGUAACGCAGCUAACGCGUGAAGUAGACCGCCUGGGGAGUACGGUCGCAAGAUUAAAACUCAAAGGAAUUGACGG
rnacentral:rRNA from 1 species